GUUUAACAAUGUGCUUAGGUUUAAGAAAGAAAAGAAAAAGGGUAUAGAUGGUCAGAAAAGUAAAUAAUUUGCUGCAUACACCUUUAGUCCCAGCACUCUGGGCAGAGACAGGCAGGUCUCUGUGAGUUCAAGGCCAGCUGGUCUACGAAGCAAGUUCCAGGACAGGCUCCAAAGCUACAGAAAAACCCUGUCUUGAAAAACAAAAACAAAAAAGUAAAUUAAGAACAAUAAAGUAAAGUAUUUAAAGAGAGAAGUAAAGUAAUAUAUAAAAAAAGAAUAAGCCACAUAGAGAUGGGAAAUACACAGGGAGUCUGGGUCCUGUAUGUUGCUGUAUUAACCUUAAAUUUUUUUAUUUCUGCUAAGCAAAUUACAGCUGCUAAGAGACAUGGGAUUGAAAGAGGGACUGGUGAAAUAAGCCAGUCUAUAUACUUUGGGAAUGCCUUGACUUUAAAAUGGAAGUAAAAAAUGUAUUUGUCAAAUGGAAGUAAAAAAAAAAAAUGCUUUGGGGGAGAGGUUAUGCUUUUGUUUCCACGGGAAAUGAGAGGUUUCGAAUUCCUCCAGGAUUAAUAUCGAUCAGGUUUGAUGAGGGGGAGACCUGAAUCUUAACAGGUAUGAUAUCUGUAAGAGAAAAUGCUCACCACGCCCAUUUGGGGGCUGGACAAGGCGUCGCUGACCACGCCCACUUGGGCUUGGUCAGAGUGACUUAGCAAGGGUUUGAAUAUCAGGGAUGCAAUACACACACGUGGCUCUCUUUUUCCCUCUCCCACCUGGCUGAGCAAACGAGCAGGCAUCCAGUGUAAACCUGGUCACUGGCUCCAUUGGGGACUCCUAAAGAUGCCUUCACAACAGGAAGCAGUCUAGAAAACUUGAUGCCCACAUUCCCAAGAGGGUUUCUUUGUAGCUUUGUAGCCUGCCCUGGACUCACUCUGUAGACCAGGCUGGCCUCAAACUAACAGAGAUUGGCCUGUUUCUGCUACCCGAGUGCUGGGAUUAAAGGCGUGUGCCGCCACUGUCCCACCUCUUAAUAGAUCACCAUGAGGAUUAAAUUCAAUGAUGUAGUCCCUGAGCGGGAGAGCACCCAUAUGAGGCUUGAAACCACAGCCUGAGCGAGGGCAGACGAGAUGCUGAGAUGGGCAGUGCCCCUGCGUCGUUGCUUCUUCCUGGGGAGACCUGGUUCCAUCUCCACCCUCCCACUCCUUGGGAACACGGGACACAGAGCCUGUGGACAUCCCAAGCCAUGCAUUCAAGCCCCAUCUACACUUCCACUAACUGCUAUUAUGUCUUACGAAUGCUAUCUGACCAAGUAAAGGAGGACUGGCAUCGUGCAUACGUUUAGGGUGGUCUGGUGGAUGUUUAUGUGUCUGUGUCUGUCCGGAGUACUUGUGGCGCUGCAGGUGGAGGGCCAGGCCUGCAUGUUCACAGCUGUCCACUAGGUGGCGCCCACGUUCCGCGGAGAGGCCACCAUGGAAGGAGCGUCCACUCUCAGGCUGGCUGAGGCUAUCCCCUCUGCUCCGAAAAAAAAAGAAAGGGAGAUUGUGGAAGGAGAUUGCUUAAUCUCUAAAAUCCCGGUUCCAUAAUACCAAGCCUCUCUUUAGACUUCAUGAGCACGAGAUGAGGUGCUUUUCUCUAGCUAAGCGGCCUAGAGCCACUCAGAGGCAAGGGUUUGGACUCUGACUUUUGUCCCUUCAGACAUCUGAAGCUUCCAGGAAGUAUGUGAGCUAAGGGCACAACAUGAAACCUGGAUCCAUAAAUACAGUUGCAAGACCGCCUUAAUGAGUGAAUACACCUGUUCUUAGAGUCUCUCAAGACAGCUUGGAUGCCAUUUCCCCAGAGCCCAGAGCCCUCCUGCAGUACACACUUAGCAAUCUCUGGCUAAAGAUGGAGUGUCUUCCAACUGCAGACAGGUCUUGCUUUGUAGCCCAGGCUGACCUAGAACUUGCAGUCCUCUGACACCAGCC
rnacentral:lncRNA from 1 species